rnacentral:misc_RNA from 1 species
AAGUCGUAACAAGGUUUCCGUAGGUGAACCUGCGGAAGGAUCAUUAACACGUAUCGUACGUUUAAAAACCCCGUGCACGUUGAUAAAACUUCUUCCAAGUAGUGGUUGAGGCGCGAGUUUUGACCAUGAAAGGCCGCGGCGAUGACGUUCGAACUGGAGCUUUGCAAGGCUAGUGUUUGGGUUGGGGGGAAAAGGGCCCUCGACUGGACGAGCAUGGGCUGGCCCGUAAAACGGACUCGAAACCCGAACAACUGUUAA